rnacentral:rRNA from 1 species
AUUAAACGCUGGCGGCAUGCCUUACACAUGCAAGUCGAACGGCAGCACGGGGGCAACCCUGGUGGCGAGUGGCGAACGGGUGAGUAAAGCAUCGGAACGUGCCCUGGAGUGGGGGAUAACGUAGCGAAAGUUACGCUAAUACCGCAUAUUCUGUGAGCAGGAAAGCAGGGGAUCGCAAGACCUUGCGCUCUGGGAGCGGCCGAUGUCGGAUUAGCUAGUUGGUGGGGUAAAGGCCUACCAAGGCGACGAUCCGUAGCGGGUCUGAGAGGAUGAUCCGCCACACUGGGACUGAGACACGGCCCAGACUCCUACGGGAGGCAGCAGUGGGGAAUUUUGGACAAUGGGCGAAAGCCUGAUCCAGCCAUGCCGCGUGAGUGAAGAAGGCCUGGUGUAAGCNCUUCGUGGGAGAAUUAGCAUAGGCUAAUACCCUGUGUAGAUGACGGUACC